rnacentral:lncRNA from 1 species
UGAAUCGUUUCUUUGAUUGGCACAAGUUGUCUGAUGAUAGAAAAGUGCGAUUUGCUAAAUUGAAAUUAAUCAGCCGAGCCAAGUUCUUUUGGCAAAGCACUGAGGCUCAACGACGAAAAUCCAUCACUGAUUGGACUGAGAUGAUAGAAGUCUUGAGUAAUAAAUACAUUCCCCAUUCCUAUCAAGAUAGACUAGCUUCGAUGGAGCAACAGAAAAAUUUAGAGGCAAUGCAAAAGAGCAAGAAU